AUUGUUUCCUAUUGGUCUAUCAGAAAAGGUGCGGAUCGCCCUUUUUUAAAUCUUGGCCAUUGGUAGAUGGUAAUCUAACUGAUCAGGAAGAUUUACGUUAUUAAUUUGUUCAUUGUUUUUUCUCUUUCUUACUCCAUCUCCAUCUCCAUCUCCAUUCUUAUGCUUCUUCUAUUCCCUUCACUUCCAUCAAUGAAAAAGGAAAAGGCACAACAAGCAUCGAUCUCGAUCACGUUUUGCUUCUCUCUCUCCGAAACUACCUUCGACGAUCUGAAGAAGUGGCAGUGUGAUGAACCAAAGGUGUGGCGUAACGAAUCGGUGUCGUGAUGAACCGGUGGUUGUGGCAUGACGAUUCAGUGACCUGAUAGACGGGAGGUGGUGGCGUAAGGACUCGGUUGCUCAUAUCGUCACAACUUUAUCUCGUAACUCUCUCAAGCUCUUCAUCUGAAUCAAGCUCGUCACCCAAGGUUGUUGUUGGUCUCCUCGUUGCCGGAUCCAAGCUUGGCACCGACUCAAGCUCACAGCCUAUUUCGCCACCGGAUUCAAGCUCACCGCAGAUCUCGGGCUCGAAGUUGUGAUUUUUUUAUAUUGAAAUUAAUUGUAUUAUAUUUUGUGAUUAAUCGAUUUUGAAUAUAACAAAAUAGUUAUUUUUA